rnacentral:snRNA from 1 species
AGCUUUCUGCCAUGGCAGUAUCACAUCCAGUGAGGUGUCUCCCAGGUGUGAUUACUGCUAAUUAAAAUUGGGACUCCAGAGGAGUUAGAAAGUUAUCUAGCUAG